rnacentral:rRNA from 1 species
CCCUUAGAUGUUCUGGGCCGCGCGCGCUCCACUGAUGCAUUCAACGAGCCUAUCCUUGACCGACAGGUCCGGGUAAUCUUUGAAUCUGCAUCGUGACGGGGAUAGAUUAUUGCAAUUAUUAAUCUUCAACGAGGAAUGCCUAGUAGGCGCAAGUCAUCAGCUUGCGUCGAUUACGUCCCUGCCCUUUGUACACACCGCCCGUCGCUCCUACCGAUUGGGUGUGCUGGUGAAAUGUUCGGAUCGGCCGUUUGUCGCGGUUUCCGCGUCAUGUGGCUGAGAAGUUCAUUAAACCCUCCCACCUAGAGGAAGGAGAAGUCGUAACA